rnacentral:rRNA from 1 species
GGUGAACGCUGGCGGAAUGCUUUACACAUGCAAGUCGAACGGCAGCACGGACUUCGGUCUGGUGGCGAGUGGCGAACGGGCGAGUAAUGUAUCGGAACGUGCCCAGUCGUGGGGGAUAACGUAGUGAAAAUUACGCUAAUACCGCAUACGAUCUAUGGAUGAAAGCGGGGGAUCGCAAGACCUCGCGCGAUUGGAGCGGCCGAUAUCAGAUUAGGUAGUUGGUGGGGUAAAGGCCCACCAAGCCAACGAUCUGUAGCUGGUCUGAGAGGACGACCAGCCACACUGGAACUGAGACACGGUCCAGACUCCUACGGGAGGCAGCAGUGGGGAAUUUUGGACAAUGGGCGAAAGCCUGAUCCAGCCAUUCCGCGUGCAGGAUGAAGGCCCUCGGGUUGUAAACUGCUUUUGUACAGAACGAAAAGGUUUCUACUAAUACUAGGAGCUCAUGACGGUACUGUAAGAAUAAGCACCGGCUAACUACGUGCCAGCAGCCGCCGUAA